rnacentral:rRNA from 1 species
GACGAACGCUGGCGGCGUGCUUAACACAUGCAAGUCGAACGGUAAGGCCCUUCGGGGUACACGAGUGGCGAACGGGUGAGUAACACGUGGGUGAUCUGCCCUGCACUUCGGGAUAAGCCUGGGAAACUGGGUCUAAUACCGGAUAGGACUCCUGGAUUCAUGGUUGGGGGUGGAAAGCUUUUGCGGUGUGGGAUGGGCCCGCGGCCUAUCAGCUUGUUGGUGGGGUAAUGGACUACCAAGGCGACCGAGGGGUAGCCGGCGUGGGAGGGUGACCGGUCACACUGGGACUGAGAUACGGCCCAGACUCCUACGGGAGGCAGCAGUGGGGAAUAUUGCACAAUGGGCGCAAGCCUGAUGCAGCGACGCCGCGUGAGGGAUGACGGCCUUCGGGUUGUAAACCUCUUUCAGCUAUGACGAAGCGCAAGUGACGGUAGUAGCAGAAGAAGGACCGGCCAACUACGUGCCAGCCGCCGCCGUAA